rnacentral:lncRNA from 1 species
AAGGCGGCGGGAGCAGGAGAGAGACGUGAGGGGAUAAUCGGGAUAUCGCGAUAGACAGCGGGAUAUCGGGAUAGAGACCGCGAUCCACACCGGGAUAUCACCACACAUACCGGGAUAGACACCGCGCGAGCGGGUGCUGAAGCUGAGCUGGGACUUUCCCUUUCCUUGGACACCUCUGGUGGCCCUCCAAGAUAUGUCCCCAUUGUCCCCAGGCGUCCCCAGGGUCUCCGGUGGCCCUCCAAGAUCCUGCUGGGCUUUGAGGACCUGCCAGGACCUGAGCCCAGAGCGCCUGGAGGCACCCAAAAGGCAGAGCUGCACCCCAAAACUGCACAGCUGCACCCCAAAAUGCAGACCUGGACCCCAAAAAUGCACAGCUGCACCCCAAAAUCGUAUAAACCCUGAACCCCCAAACCUGGAGAUACCUGAAGUACACCUGAACCCCAACCCCAGGGAGUUUGGGGGCCCCAGGGCUGGGACCCCCUGUUUUGGGGUUUUGGGGUGUCCCAGGGCUGUGACUCCCCUGUUUUCAUCCCCCCACGUGAAAGCCCCCCCACUUUGUCCCCAAUUGGAGGUCCCCAAAACCAGGGGGGGGCCCAAAACCCCCUUGGGGGGGAGCCAGCCCCCCCAAGGCUUCGUUGUAAAUGGGUUUGAGAAGAAUCAAUAAAGUUUGG